CAGCCUGCCCAGUGACAGAUUCAACGGCCGCGGUACCCUAACCGUGCGAAGGUAGCAUAAUCACUUGUUCUUUAAAUGAGGACUAGUAUCAAUGGCAUCACGAGGAUCCUACUGUCUCCCCGCUCCAAUCAGUGAAACUGAUCUCUCCGUGAAGAAGCGGGGAUGCACAUAUAAGACGAGAAGACCCCAUGGAGCUUUAAACCCAACGGCAACUAUAUUUUAAUGCCCUCACAUUCACCCAGCAAAUGCUCGUUGGUUUUAGGUUGGGGUGACCAUGGAGUAAAAAACAACCUCCACGAAAAAAGGGGUAAUAACCCUUAUCAAAGAACCACGAUUCUAUGAAUUAGUAAACUAAUUUUUAAUGAUCCGAUUUUCGAUCAACGAACCAAGUUACCCUGGGGAUAACAGCGCAAUCCACCUCGAGAGCUCCUAUCGACAGGUGGGUUUACGACCUCGAUGUUGGAUCAGGGUUUCCCAGUGGUGCAGCAGCUACUAAAGGUUCGUUUGUUCAACGAUUAAAACCCU
rnacentral:rRNA from 1 species